UACGAAGGAGGCUAGCGUUGUUCGGAAUUACUGGGCGUAAAGCGCACGUAGGCGGAUAUUUAAGUCAGGGGUGAAAUCCCAGAGCUCAACUCUGGAACUGCCUUUGAUACUGGGUAUCUCGAGUAUGGAAGAGGUGAGUGGAAUUCCGAGUGUAGAGGUGAAAUUCGUAGAUAUUCGGAGGAACACCAGUGGCGAAGGCGGCCGCCUGGGCCUUUGCUGACGCUGAGCCGCGAAAGCGUGGGGAGCGAGCCGG
rnacentral:rRNA from 1 species